UGGGGAAUAUUGGACAAUGGGGGCAACCCUGAUCCAGCAAUGCCGCGUGUGUGAAGAAGGCCUGAGGGUUGUAAAGCACUUUCAGUGGGGAGGAGGGUUGAUAGGUUAAGAGCUGAUUAACUGGACGUUACCCACAGAAGAAGCACCGGCUAACUCCGUGCCAGCAGCCGCGGUAAUACGGAGGGUGCGAGCGUUAAUCGGAAUUACUGGGCGUAAAGGGUGCGUAGGUGGUUGUAUAAGUUAUCUGUAAAAGCCCAGGGCUCAACCUUGGAAGGCCAGAUAAAACUGUAUAACUCGAGUAUGGGAGAGGGUAGUGGAAUUUCCGGUGUAGCGGUGAAAUGCGUAGAGAUCGGAAGGAACACCAGUGGCGAAGGCGGCUACCUGGCCUAAUACUGACACUGAAGUACGAAAGCGUGGGGAGCAAACAGGAUUAGAUACCCCCGUAGUCCCUGAGCGGGCUGGCAAGGCGCAU
rnacentral:rRNA from 1 species